rnacentral:rRNA from 1 species
CGGCGGACGGGUGAGUAACACGUAGGUAACCUACCUAUAAGACUGGGAUAACUUCGGGAAACCGGAGCUAAUACCGGAUAAUAUUUCGAACUGCAUGGUUCGAUAGUGAAAGAUGGCUUUGCUAUCACUUAUAGAUGGACCUGCGCCGUAUUAGCUAGUUGGUAAGGUAACGGCUUACCAAGGCAACGAUACGUAGCCGACCUGAGAGGGUGAUCGGUCACACUGGAACUGAGACACGGUCCAG